AGGCAGGGUGACCUCUGCUAAGGAUCCCAGGACAGGGUUUUCUUGUGAGAAAAAGGACAAGGGUGUGAGGGAAUCUGCCCAGAGGGUAGAGCCAGCCUCUACUAUUCUGCUAGGACCAAACUCCUCCUGAAGUUCAUGAGGACUGCUACAUAGAGGAACUUGGUGGAGUAGGGACUUUUUGGCCAAAAAAAAAAAAAAAAAAAAAAAAAGUGCAGUGUGUGCUUUUCUAAGGCAGGAAGUGAGGGAGACUCAAAAAAAAAAAAAAAAAGCUGAGUCAGGCCCCUCUGGGACUGUAGUGAAGGAGCCCUUUUCUGCCCUCACCCAAAAGAACCCCCACCCAUCCCCCACUUCUCACUGAGGAGGUGGAGGGGUGACAAGGGACUGGACAAGACGCCCCGCAGACUCUCUAGCCAUUCUCGCUGUUCCUUUUCAGUGGGGCAGGUGAAGAUGAAUUUCCGCUCCGGAGUGAUGACGAAAAACCUGGCCCAGCUCAAAAGCAUCCUGAAAAUGGAAGGCAUAGAGUCAUCAGAGGCCUUGGGGCAGAAGAGCCCUUGCAGCCUGGCCAGUCCCAAGGUCAAGUUUGGUAAAGAGGUACGUGGUCCAAAGGUUAGGACUGAAUGGCCUGGGCACAGGAGUGACCUAGAACUGUACAUCUGACCCAAACAGGUCACCUGGAGCUCUGGGUUGCUCUGAGCUGUAUAGGCCAAAAGUUAGAGACCGACUGGAAGCCCUCCCUGGUGCUUGCUGGGCAGGACAGCAAGCACCUGCAAGAGGAUUCGCGGCCAGCUGCAGUUAUUAGUCAGCCUGAGAGAAAGAUGGCUGACAAGAGCCAUGAGAGUAUAGACCCAGUCACACAUGAGUCCCCGGUGUGGCUUCUCCAUCCUUCUCCUUUUCCUUGGUCAUGUUUGAGCUCCUGGUAUUAUGAUCUUCUUCUUUUUCUUCCCUCUUGUUUCCUCUUUUAUAAAAAAAAUAUACAUUUAUU
rnacentral:lncRNA from 1 species